UUUAUGGAGAGUUUGAUCCUGGCUCAGGAUGAACGCUGGCGGCGUGCCUAAUACAUGCAAGUCGAGCGAACAGAUAAGGAGCUUGCUCCUUUGACGUUAGCGGCGGACGGGUGAGUAACACGUGGGUAACCUACCUAUAAGACUGGGAUAACUUCGGGAAACCGGAGCUAAUACCGGAUAAUAUUUCGAACCGCAUGGUUCGAUAGUGAAAGAUGGUUUUGCUAUCACUUAUAGAUGGAUCCGCGCCGUAUUAGCUAGUUGGUAAGGUAACGGCUUACCAAGGCAACGAUACGUAGCCG
rnacentral:rRNA from 1 species